UUGAAUCAGGCACCGGCUUUCAUCUGAAUGUGGCCUUUUGGCUCUAUAUCCUCUUUACCAUGACUGUUCUUUCCAUCAUCUUUUUCUUAUUUUCCCCUUCUUCAGUGAAGCUGAUGAACACAUAAGGAAAUGCAAGUCUUAAUGUGCAGCCUAGAAGAGGAGGGAGAGAUCCACUAAAACGUGAGUCUUGCUCAGAUACAGAUGCACCCUGCAUAAUGCUGUGUAUAAGAAUAAAGAGGACAACAUUAUAAAGAUGGACUGUUUGGGAAGGCCAGAGACAUUAGAUAGACCAUAACUUGGCUCAGACCUGUAAGCCGCUGUUGCUGUCUUCGCCUUUGAGUCCACAAGAGGAGAGCGAUGAGAAAGGCCAGAAGAAUGACACCAAAGAUCCCCAAUGCAACAAGGGAUGAGUGACCUAAGUGCAAAGAAAACAAUUGAAUAAACCUUUCAAGAAGGCCAUGGAGAGUGCAAUGCUUCUUGGACAACUAAUCCGUGAUCCUGAAUAUCUAUAAGCCAAAUUAAAUGAAACUAAUUACAUCAUCUGGGUAGAAUAGGUGGCAGAGGUUAUUCAUUCCUACUUAAUGAGAUCAGAAGAUGAUAAUGGAAUUACAACAUGGAAUUCUCAUACAGGCCACCAGAUACUCACUGGCACAUGUGAUCCAGGUCUCCUCUGAAGAACUGGCCACUCUCUGUUUCCAUGGAGAAGAUGGGCACUGCCAUAAGGUGUCAGGUCCUUUUGGACACUGGACAUUGUCCACCCACAUGUGCCUGGACAUGGGCUUGUCUGAAGAUGCAGGGUUGAUGCUCCCCUUGUCUGCACAACCCAGUUGCCUGCAUACCACCUCCACAGUGGUUGCAGACAUAUUACUCUUGCCAACGCUGCCCCAAGCUCCAUUGUAAAAAACUUCAAGACGCCCUGCACAGAUGUCUCUGCUGGUUUCAUCAAUCAGUCUGAGAGACAUGAACUCUGGGGUGAAAUACAGAGUUAGUAGUUUCACAUCUUCUCUCUGAAGAUUCACAGGACUCCCUCCCUCCCUUUAUUCUAUGAUAAUGGUUUUAAAAAUAGGCACAAUAUGUCAAUUGCUAGUAACUCUUUGGUAACUUUUGGAUGAUUUUCUACACUAAAUAUGGUAUAGUUCUGUAAAUA